AUACGUAGGGGGCGAGCGUUGUCCGGAAUUAUUGGGCGUAAAGGGUGCGUAGGCGGCCAUUUAAGUCAGAUGUGAAAGACCAGGGCUUAACCUUGGGGUUGCAUUUGAAACUGGAUGGCUUGAGUAUCGGAGAGGGCAGUGGAAUUCCCGGUGUAGCGGUGAAAUGCGUAGAGAUCGGGAGGAACACCAGUGGCGAAGGCGACUGCCUGGACGAAAACUGACGCUGAGGCACGAAAGCUAGGGGAGCAAACAGGAUUAGAUACCCUGGUAGUCCUAGCUGUAAACGAUGGGUACUAGGUGUAGGGGGUUUCAAUACCUCCUGUGCCGGAGUUAACGCAAUAAGUACCCCGCCUGGGGAGUACGGUCGCAAGACUGAA
rnacentral:rRNA from 1 species